rnacentral:rRNA from 1 species
AGUGGGUGGUAAACUCCAUCCAAGGCUAAAUACUUGCACGAGUCCGAUAGCGAACAAGUACCGUGAGGGAACGUUGAAAAGUACUUUGAAGAGAGAGUAAACAGUGCGUGAAACCGCUCAGAGGUAAACGGGUGGAGUUGAACUGCGAACCCCGGGAAUUCAACUGGUGAGUGUGGUAUGAGCUUGGCAUGAUGGUUGGCUCUGCGGGUCUGCUUAGCUGCAGGUCUUCGCCUUUUGGUGGAGAUGCGCGAUACACUUGUCAAGUGGUGCGCGCUCGUUGAGUUACUCGGACAUGCUUGCCAGUGCACUUUCUCGGGGUGUUCACCACGACCGGCGCUGCUACUUGUCUGAUAUGGUUAAACCGUUCUUGCUUGGUCCUUGUGGCUUUGCUUGAUCGGGAUGGCAGGUAGCUCGGUAACUUGUGUGUUGGCCUCGGCCGGCAUGCGCUUGGUUUCCGAGUGUAAUCAGCUGACUGUAUUGGUGCUAUGUAGUGCGUCGGAGACGGCGGCUUGUGGUGUGUGCCUGCGUGCCUAUCUGCUGACGGAACCGGGUUUGGUUAUUAUGUUGCCUGUUUUGCAGGCCUGGUGAUGGCCCGGUUACGCUUG